GGUGGUGUGCUUAGUGGUAAAGUACUUGCCUACCAUGCGUGAGGCCCUGUGUUCAAUCCUCAGCAUUGCUA
rnacentral:tRNA from 1 species